UCCAAUUCAAUUUUUAUUUUAUUACUAAUUAUUAUUUGCAUCAUUUCAAACUUCGGACGAAGUUGUUCCCUCAACCUAAAGGGAGGUUCCUCAACCAGGUCAACCACUGACUUGCCGAGUCAAAAGCCCUGGCUGAUGUGUCACCAAGCCAAAGACGCCGACGAGCUUGCGAGGAGAGGCUCCAGAAUUAUGCCGACUGGCCCCUAUCCGCACCUUCCCUUGUCCUGCUCGAAAGUGCGAACGUGGAUUCGCCAAAGAUCUACAGAACUCCAACAUCACCGAUGGUCACUGUUUCUUUAAUAAACAUCAUUUUGUCCUACCAUAGGCGAGCAAUUCGAAUAGUAUUUUAUUGUUUCACAAUGAACUUUAUUAUUUAGUUGGCGUUGAAAGGAUUUGUCUGACGACGAGCCUCGUGGCUCACUAGUUGGAGCAACUUCAAUCUAAUCCGUUUUCAAUGUUGACCUCCCGUACAAAACUCCAAGCUUAUCUCAAAGGCUAAAUAAAAUUAUUAUUAUUGUAUUGUUUCUGGUUACUUUAGUUUUGUUUCAUAGUUAAAUUUUUAAAAAUACAUUAGGGGAUUCCUAAGUUUAUUUUAACUAAUUCCUAAAAGUUUGGUGGUCUUGAAUCUAAAUUGAGAUUAUUAUUAUGAUCUGAAAUUAUUACCGACGGCUUAGUUCCGUAUCAAAUCUGGUUACAAACCGAUUUGUAAGAACAAAUCGUCAUAUAAUCUAAAUUAAUAAUCAGUGGAUCGUGAUGGCGAUGCUUUCUUGAUGAUUUUUUUAUAAUAGUAGUUUAUUUAUUUGAAACAGAACCAAUUUGUGUAAACAAUCUGCAAUCUGUUGUCGUUUGAUAAAUUAGGAUUUGCAAAAUAAUUAACUAAAAAUAAUUUUAAUUUGUUUUUGCUACAAACAACAACUUGUAUCUAGUAAAAAUAUAAUGUCAUUCUCAUUGGCAAAUGACGCAAGUAGAUGUGACAUUGCCGUUUUGUGUUACGCGUUAGUUAGAAAAGAAAUAUUGCAAUAAUAAGUUUGCCACUCGUGCAUGAUAAAUCAUAAUUUCCACACAUAAAAUACAACACAUAGUAGAUCGACUCAUAUGUGAUGAUAUGUUGUACUAUCAUAACAGAUUUUGAUGUCACUGAUAGUUUUCAUUGUUUAAGUCACAUACGUGAUCAUUAUUACAGACUAUUCUAAAUUUGAAGUCGUUUUAACAUUAAAUAAUUCCCCCCCCCCCUCUUUCGUGUGCCUUCUAUUGCAAAAGUGAGUUGUAUCAAAUAUUUAAAAUUGAUCUGUUCAGUCUGUAAAAUAUUGGAGAUAACUGAUAAGUAUGAUGACAGUUUCUAUAACUGUCCGGUCAACAUAAACAUUUGAAAUAAAAAAUCCCGGAGAAAUGAAUUUUGGUGGAGAGCUGGGGUUUACCAUUACAAAUAAAGUUUUAAAAAGGUUUCUUCUCGAUCCCACACAACGUGAUGUAGUAGGUAUCCUCCAUCAAUAAUCUGCAUCGAAGAGUGAUAAGGGGCUAAUUCAUACUCAAAAUUUCAAAGGAUCAUGUGUACACGUGGCUUAUAUGUGCAUAUCAUGUAUAAUGUGACUCUUAGCAUCGCGAUAUCUCAGCGGUGGUAACUCUUAGGAAAAGAAUUGUAACAUACCAUUUUUGUAGAGAAUUUAAUAUCUAUAUAUACCUUUGGCUUGAAACGUUUUUUGAAUUCAUUAUACUAUAUAUUAUUGUAUACUAAUAUUACACAUAUUAAAGGUGCGUUUAUUUGGAUAAAUGCACGAAUUGUGCACGUGCAAUUGUAUAAACGUAAAAUUUUGGUAAAAGUACAACUAAAACCCCGUCAGGAAAAAAGGGCAAUGUCGCCCAUUGGUGUGGUAGUGCUAGUGCGGUAAGUUAAAUAGGAUACCUACGACCGGGAUAUUAACAUCACUAACUUCUUUAACGUUCACUUGUUUUAAAUCAUAAAAGCAUUUUAUACAUAUAUAUGAUAAAUUAACAUUUUGACUCUUUGUCAUCAGUCAGCCAUCUAUUUCCAAGAAGUGGAAACAGAAAUUUUAAAUAUUUUCGAGUUAAAAUUUACUUUGGUUGCGCCGACUCAUAAAGCCCACUAUGUUUGUUUGAUUUAUUAUUUUAGUGUCAAUAUGAGAGUAAUAAAUACCUUAUUAAACAUUAUUAAUAAUGGGAGACUCUGGUGGACCCCUCAUGAGUGAUGGUGUUCAAGUUGGUAUCGUCUCUUGGUGUGUUCCUCGUGCAAAGGGGAGACCUGAUGUUUAUACAAAGGUAUACAGUUAAGUGAAAUGAAUAAAUAAUUAAAUUUCAAAUUAGUAGUUAUAGUUUUGUUGUGUAAAUAAAAAAAUAUGAUACAAUACUACUUUUGGUUAAUAAUAAUUGUCCAGUGGCAUUACAA